rnacentral:rRNA from 1 species
ACGCUAGCUACAGGCUUAACACAUGCAAGUCGAGGGGAAACGACAUCGAAAGCUUGCUUUUGAUGGGCGUCGACCGGCGCACGGGUGAGUAACGCGUAUCCAACCUGCCCACCACUUGGGGAUAACCUUGCGAAAGUAAGACUAAUACCCAAUGAUAUCUCUAGAAGACAUCUGAAAGAGAUUAAAGAUUUAUCGGUGAUGGAUGGGGAUGCGUCUGAUUAGCUUGUUGGCGGGGUAACGGCCCACCAAGGCAACGAUCAGUAGGGGUUCUGAGAGGAAGGUCCCCCACAUUGGAACUGAGACACGGUCCAAACUCCUACGGGAGGCAGCAGUGAGGAAUAUUGGUCAAUGGACGAGAGUCUGAACCAGCCAGGUAGCGUGCAGGAUGACGGCCCUAUGGGUUGUAAACUGCUUUUAUAAGGGAAUAAAGUGAGUCUCGUGAGACUUUUUGCAUGUACCUUAUGAAUAAGGACCGGCUAAUUCCGUGCCAGCAGCCGCGGUAAUACGGAAGGUCCGGGCGUUAUCCGGAUUUAUUGGGUUUAAAGGGAGCGUAGGCCGGAGAUUAAGCGUGUUGUGAAAUGUAGACGCUCAACGUCUGCACUGCAGCGCGAACUGGCUUCCUUGAGUACGCACAAAGUGGGCGGAAUUCGUGGUGUAGCGGUGAAAUGCUUAGAUAUCACGAAGAACUCCGAUUGCGAAGGCAGCUCACUGGAGCGCAACUGACGCUGAAGCUCGAAAGUGCGGGUAUCGAACAGGAUUAGAUACCCUGGUAGUCCGCACGGUAAACGAUGGAUGCCCGCUGUUGGUCUGAAUAGGUCAGCGGCCAAGCGAAAGCAUUAAGCAUCCCACCUGGGGAGUACGCCGGCAACGGUGAAACUCAAA